UUGGAGGAGGGAGAAGCCAGGAAGAAAAUGGCGGCCGUGGCUGCAGAGGCGGCAGCGACUGCAGCGUCCCCCGGGGAGGGGGGCGCCGGCGAGGCCGAGCCGGAGAUGGAGCCCAUCCCCGGCAGCGAGGCCGGCACUGACCCCCUCCCGGUCACGGCCACUGAAGCAUCUGUGCCCGACGCCGAGGCUGACGGGCAGCAGUCCUCUCCUCAGGCCGACGAACCGCCGCUCCCGCCGCCGCCACCGCCGCCGGGGGAGCUCGCCCGCAGCCCGGAGGCGGCGGGGCUGGAGCUGGAGCCUGAGGAGAAGCUGCCCGUUCGAGUAGUGGAGCCGGCGGCAGCCGCGCCUCAGGAAGGGCCCAGCUUGCCACCUUCUCCUGCACCGCCGCCGGAGGAGCCCCCGGCUCCCGAGGAGCGCCAGGAACCGCCGCUGCCCCAGCCAGCAGUCCCGGCUCUCGUGCCGCCGGCAGGCGGGGACUCCGCGGUGUCGCAACUGAUCCCCGGCUCGGAGGUGCGGGUCACGCUGGACCACAUCAUUGAGGACGCGCUCGUCGUGUCGUUCCGCCUCGGGGAGAAGCUCUUCUCCGGGGUCCUCAUGGAUUUGUCCAAAAGGUUUGGGCCCCAUGGGAUCCCUGUGACAGUAUUUCCCAAAAGGGAAUAUAAGGAUAAACCCGAAGCCAUGCAGCUCCAAAGUAAUACAUUCCAAGAAGGGACAGAAGUCAAGCGUGAAGUGAAUGGUGCUGUUCCCAACGACCCUUCUCCUGUCCCGCCUCCUGAGCUCAGCUUGGCCGAAAGCCUGUGGACUUCCAAACCACCACCUCUCUUCCAUGAAGGAGCACCUUAUCCUCCCCCUUUGUUUAUCAGGGACACAUAUAACCAAUCAAUACCUCAGCCGCCUCCCCGGAAAAUUAAGCGACCCAAACGAAAAAUGUACAGGGAAGAACCUACUUCAAUAAUGAAUGCUAUUAAACUACGACCCAGGCAAGUUUUGUGUGACAAGUGUAAAAACAGUGUUGUUGCUGAAAAAAAAGAAAUUAGAAAAGGUGGUAGUGCAAGUGACUCUUCUAAAUAUGAAGAUAAAAAACGGAGAAAUGAAAGUGUAACUACUGUGAACAAAAAACUGAAAACUGACCAUAAGAUGGAUGGGAGAAACCAAAAUGAAAGCCAGAAAAGAAAUGCUGUGGUUAAGGUUUCAAAUAUUACUCACAGCAGAGGCAGAGUAGUCAAAGUUUCUGCUCAGGCAAAUACAUCAAAAGCUCAGUUAAAUACUAAAAAAGUGCUCCAGAAUAAAAACAUGGAUCAUGCAAAAGCUCGGGAAGUGCUGAAAAUUGCCAAAGAAAAGGCACAGAAGAAGCAGAGUGAAACCUCUACAUCCAGAAGUGCGCAUUCAAAGGUCCAUUUCACACGCCGAUACCAGAACCCUAGCUCAGGCUCUCUUCCACCCCGGGUUCGUUUAAAGCCCCAGAGAUACAGGAAUGAAGAAAAUGACUCUUCUCUGAAGACCGGGCUGGAGAAAAUGCGAAGCAGCAAGAUGGCACCCAAGCCCCAGUCCCGUUGCACCUCUACCCGCUCAGCAGGUCUCAACAAAUGGCAGCUAUUACAUCAGACAGUGACGAGUCCUGCUGCUCCCUUAGUGUGACAGACCACUGUGGAUUCAGACUGGGAGCAUUGAAGUUAACAGUGAGACGGGCAGCACAAAGACAUUAGCAGGCUGCUGGUUUCAUGGACCUGUACCACAAUGACAGAACACCAGAGCAUCAGGACUGAAUGAAAUUGGAGACUCAGAUUUUUAAAGCUGCACUAAGAAGUAAAUGUUGAGGCAGUGGUUAAAACCAACAGUCUAUAAAGAGGCACUUGCAAAUUGUGCUAGAUUAAACUGAAGAAAAGAUAUUAGGGGAAUAUUUUAUUAAAAAAAAACUAUUGCAAUAAAUUAUGCAUGAGAUGAGGAGGAAAGUUAUGUGAAAUACACAAAGAACUCUUGAAUUCUAUGUGUGAAGAAUCACUGACAGUACCUUCUUUUGAACGUGAAGUUCUUCUCAGUACAGUUUGGACACGCCUAAAAGGCACGGGAUGACGACAGAAAUGCUGAAUUAUUUUUUGUAUUAAAACUGAUUUCUCCAAGGUUUACUGUUAAUCAGCUCAGAAAAGAUUAUCUAACAUCCUACUAAAAGGGUGGUAAAGUAUCCCUAUACCCAACCAAGAAAAUUUGGAUCUUUUCUUUAAUAAAGCAGGACUAUAUUAUCUUAAAUAUACAUUUGCUUGUUAGAACAUAUUAAGAUAUAUUUAUUUGCCACCAGUAUUUAAUAUUUUCUGCACAUUUUCAUAACUACAUUCUUACCUUUCAAAUUCUGACUCCAAGUGGAUAGGCUAGUGUCAAUCUUGGAGUGAAAACAUACUCUCUAGGAACUAGUUCUUAAUCCUACUGAGCUGGAAAGGCUUUAUUCUCCCUGUCCUUACUGAUUUUAUCGAGUUCACAAAAGGUGGUAAUAUCUGAAUUUUGAUAUUGACCUCUCUCCACAGAGAGCCCUCUUUCUAAGUGCAAGAAUUCCUCAGAGCUGUCCGAUGGGACUUGAUCCUGGGGAACAAGCAGCAGGAACCAUAAAGACGGUGAAGUUUUCAUGCAUAAAGUAUGAAUUCUUAUUCACAGAGACCAUAAUGUUUUAUCUAUGAAAAUUACACAUUAUAAAAAACCUUUUUCAUUUUUAAUGAAUGGAGAAAACAUUGAGAAAAUCAGAUGAAUUUGUUAGUACUACAUUUUUAAGGCAUUUUUAUAUUUGAUGGUGCCGUACUUUUAAUAAUAUACCUGAAGUUUUUUAGUGGCAAUACUGAUUUAUUUUUUAAACCAGAAAGAUAAUCCAUAGUGAUUACUUAAUACAAAAGGAAAAAAAAUGCCAAAAAUAAAAAUACAAAAUUCAUUUGAAGCAACAUAAAUAACUGAGCAUUUGGCUUCAAUGCUCAAACUUUGCAUAAUCUUACUAUAUGUGUUUGGAAUUACUUAUUAACCCCACACUCAGGAUUAACACAAAGUUCUGGGUAAGUUUUAGGACAUUUACUAUAUCAGCUAGGAUCUGUUUUACAACUCUAGAAAAGGUAGGCAGUCUUGCUUCUGGCGAGUUUAAUGCCAACCCUAAUUACGCUGUAACUAAAAGUUUUGAUUCCAUUCUAAGAUUGUCUUUAUGGAAAAUUGUUUAUCAUGAAGUCACUGUACGUGAUCAAGUCUGAGAGCCAGCUCAGGAACUGCAGCCGCAGGGAGCUCUACGCGCAGCAGCGCCCUGCUCUGGCCCAGGGCUCAGGCUGGGCCCCCUCCUGUUCUUUCAGGUCCGUGACCCAGCAGGAGCACUUCAGGCUCACGUCAAGAACCUGGUAACUCCCAGAUCAGAGCAGGUUUUGCGUAAUCAAAACUUCUAACUGCAGAGUGACGGAAAUGAAGAAGUAACAUAAAGGCAAAAAGAACUGGGAGAGAUCAGGUUUUAUCUAAAUAUUUUUUUAUGGCAGUUCUCAGUGGUGUUUGUUAUGAACCACUUUCAUUUUUUAAAAAAUGAAACUUGGUGGUAUUUAAAAUCUAGACAUACCAUGUUUGCUAUUUCACCUUCAUUGCUUUAGUUGCUUAAUAUUUAAGCUUUGCUUCAUGCUACCUUCAUCUGUAUUUCAAAUCUUCACAAGCCUAUUUCAUUUUGUAGACUUGAAUGACAACAAUUGUUUCUCAUCUAAACUAUGCUGAGACCUAAAUGUUAAAGAAUGUUGUGUAACAUAUAUUCAAUAAAGUCUUGAUUUUUUUAAAAUUUA